CACCUCAAUGCCUUUCUAAGAGCUCUUUCUGGUAUCAGGUAGAAUAAGUUGGCGAUUUGUCUUCUAUCAGGUUAAAUGUCUCAUGCAAACUACUUGUGCAUAUUUACUUACUCUAAACAGGAUUACUGAAACUCAAAGCAGAUGAAAAUCACUUCCACCCAGAAGGUUGUGUACGAGUUGGAGGCCUGCAAGGAAAAAACAAGUGACAUUUGUGUUUAGUAUCUAAUUAAAGUGAGGAAUUAGUUUAGUUUCAUUAAAACUAAACUUCUGCUUGGCAGCUCAGAAGGAUUUGCAUGGAGGAAAAGAUCCUCUGUCUGUCCGCUCUCUGUCUUAUCUGCAACCUUUUACAGCUCAUGAAAAAUGGGGAUGUGACAACAGGCCUCCACGCAACCAUCAGCAAGGUGCGGAAGGACGGCGCUGAGGUGGCACAUCCCAGCGCAGCAAACAAGGAGGCGUGCUGUCAUUACAAAACACGGCUGGAGCUCAAUUUGAGUGGCGGCUCUUCACUGACUUCAAGCCCGGCUGCAGAUGGAAGUUGCGGAAGAGGAGUGAAGAGGAGUGAGUGAGGGAUGACUCCUCAGCCACGUGGCAGGAAGACCCUGAUCCCUACGAGCAGAUGGUGAUGGCGGCAGAUUAAGCACACCGGGCAGGACCUGAGGCAUCAGAGCGGGGCGAGAACGCCACUACAGCCACUCCUCACCUUCUUUCCCGGGCACCAGAACACUAUUCCUCUUCUCUUUUAACCUCAGUUCUGGUCCCAAAUAAAGACACCUCAACUCAA